AUUGAACGCUGGCGGCAUGCCUUACACAUGCAAGUCGAACGGUAACGGGCCUUCGGGUGCCGACGAGUGGCGAACGGGUGAGUAAUGUAUCGGAACGUACCUUUCAGUGGGGGAUAACGUAGCGAAAGUUACGCUAAUACCGCAUAUUCUGUGCGCAGGAAAGCAGGGGAUCGCAAGACCUUGCGCUGAUUGAGCGGCCGAUAUCAGAUUAGCUAGUUGGUGAGGUAAAGGCUCACCAAGGCGACGAUCUGUAGCGGGUCUGAGAGGAUGAUCCGCCACACUGGAACUGAGACACGGUCCAGACUCCUACGGGAGGCAGCAGUGGGGAAUUUUGGACAAUGGGGGCAACCCUGAUCCAGCCAUGCCGCGUGAGUGAAGAAGGCCUUCGGGUUGUAAAGCUCUUUCGGCCGGGAAGAAAUCGUAUCAGCUAAUACCUGGUGCGGAUGACGGUACCGGCAUAAGAAGCACCGGCUAACUACGUGCCAGCCGCCGCCGUAACAC
rnacentral:rRNA from 1 species